rnacentral:sRNA from 1 species
UCGUAAAUCAAAGACGGCGUCGGGUGUU